UCCUGAUAAAGCCACCCCCGUAGCGAUGCGGGUUCGGAAAGCCACGGAUCUCCCCGAGACAGCCGGGUUGCCUGA
rnacentral:ncRNA from 1 species